UUUAUUUUGUUAGCAUCUCUUAUUUUGAAGGGUCACAUUGAUGUGUGGCCCAUGUGACUUGUUCCAGCCAACCGAGUUGCUACGUGCUCUGGCGCUAAAAGAAUUGGAGAGAGCAAGAAAGAAGCAGAGAGAGCAAGGGAGAAGCGGAGAGAGCAUUGAGCUAAGAGUUGUGCUGUGAGAGAAAAAAGAGAGUUAAGAAAAAAAUAGACAAUUAAAAAAAAAAAGCGCCUGUUGUUGGGGAAACUUUUCCAUUGUUGGAGGAGGAGCUUUCCACAUUUUUCACCGACCGUGUUCAGCGUGUACACGUUGUAGAACUGGACUUGGCUUUUUUGAAGUUGCUGGAGGUUUGACCGGGGAACUUCGAGUCGAUCUCCAAGUUGGAUUCUACUGAAGAGAGCGAAACAAGAUGGCGAGCCGUAACCCAGGAACUCUGUAACUGCCGUCUAGCAGGAGCCACACAUUCCGCUGGACAAUCCCAAUCAUCCAAACUGGUAUGAUCUACCCAUGUUUCCUGCUGAAUUAGCAUUGGGAACGGAAUAAACCCUGCAGGACCAUCAGAGGAAAGAGACAUUGAUCUAAACACAAAUUAUUCAGCCUUUUUUUUUCUGAAUUUGUUGAAUUGUGUUUUAUUGUUUCUUUUCCUGAAACCCAUUCAAUGUCCUUUGUGUGUAUUGAAUGUGAAAUUGUCUGUUGGGUAGAAAUGGAAAUAAGAAAUGGUUAAACCAGGAAAUUAAAAUCUUAACUUCCUUAAAGAGAACUCUAAAUAGCUAAAUUAGAUUUAAAAGAUUAGAGAAUCGAUUAGACUGUAAAUUAACUAAAUUAACAGUAUUCAUCGGAACUAAAAUAGAACUAUAACCUAGGUUAGAAAAAAUAAAAUAGUAAUCCUUUUAAAACCUAGCAUUAGGUUUAAAUUCCAAACAGGGGAACUAUUUUAGGAUCUAAAUGUGUGUCAUGUUAUGUCAACUGCUGUAAUAUUGUUGUUGUUCUUUCUUUGGAUAAAAAAUUAAGCCGGUAGUUCAAACUA